rnacentral:rRNA from 1 species
GAUGAACGCUGGCGGCGUGCCUAAUACAUGCAAGUCGAGCGAACGGACGAGAAGCUUGCUUCUCUGAUGUUAGCGGCGGACGGGUGAGUAACACGUGGAUAACCUACCUAUAAGACUGGGAUAACUUCGGGAAACCGGAGCUAAUACCGGAUAAUAUUUUGAACCGCAUGGUUCAAAAGUGAAAGACGGUCUUGCUGUCACUUAUAGAUGGAUCCGCGCUGCAUUAGCUAGUUGGUAAGGUAACGGCUUACCAAGGCAACGAUGCAUAGCCGACCUGAGAGGGUGAUCGGCCACACUGGAACUGAGACACGGUCCAGACUCCUACGGGAGGCAGCAGUAGGGAAUCUUCCGCAAUGGGCGAAAGCCUGGCGGAGUAACGCCGCGUGAGUGAUGAAGGUCUUCGGAUCGUAAAACUCUGUUAUUAGGGAAGAACAUAUGUGUAAGUAACUGUGCACAUCUUGACGGUACCUAAUCAGAAAGCCACGGCUAACUACGUG